UCCAUAGCUUAGGAGACCGAAGCUCUGUACUUACUGCAUGGAGCACCACAAUCAAAAGCUUCUCCCAAGCUGCCAUACCAGCAUGCUGACCUGGACGGACCACUGCUAGGGGCGUGUGGGUAGUUUAGUCUCCAUGGCCCAUUCAAAGCUGGGCGCUU
rnacentral:sRNA from 1 species